AACGAACGCUGGCGGCAGGCUUAACACAUGCAAGUCGAACGAGAUCUUCGGAUCUAGUGGCAGACGGGUGAGGAACACGUGGGAACAUCCCUUUCAGUUCGGAAUAACGUUGGGAAACUAACGCUAAUACCGGAUACGUCCUUCGGGAGAAAGAUUUAUCGCUGAAAGAUUGGCCCGCGUCUGAUUAGCCAGUUGGUGAGGUAAUGGCUCACCAAGGCUACAAUCAGUAGCUGAUCUGAGAGGAUGAUCAGCCACAUUGGGACAGAGACACGGCCCAAACUCCUACGGGAGGCAGCAGUGGGGAAUAUUGGACAAUGGGCGCAAGCCUGAUCCAGCCAUGCCGCGUGAGUGAUGAAGGCCUUCGGGUUGUAAAGCUCUUUUAUCCGGGAAGAUAAUGACUGUACCGGAAGAAUAAGCCCCGGCAAACUUCGUGCCAGCCGCCGCGGUAA
rnacentral:rRNA from 1 species